rnacentral:tRNA from 1 species
GACAGUGUGGCAUAGUGGUUUCAGUGAUGGACUAUGACUCUGGAGAUCAGGGUUCGAUUCCUGGCUCGGCCA